CCCUUUCUUGUCUCAGGGACUCUAGGCACCUGCUUGCUUAGGUUCAGAGACACUAGCAGUUGGGCCUGGACCAGCUCCACCGUGACGAUCUUGCUUUCUGCCUUUUGUUUAGAAGAGCCUAAUUAAUGAGAUUUUCAUCCAGGCCGGCCAUGAUCCUUCAAGAACGUCAUGGGAGCCGAGGAGUAAGAGCUGCUGCUUUCCGAGUGUUUCUCUCUAAUGCCUUGUCAUCUUUCCAGGUGUUCUCUGGGCCUUGGACUCCGUGGUGACGCCAUUUGGAUGCGGUGAAGCCGUUUGGGACCAGGCAUUCAAGAGCCUUCAUUCUUCAUUCUCAGCACCGUGGCCAGUUAUACGUCCUCCUUAACCCAUGCCCACUAAAGAAAGCCUCUUCUGGCCAAGGCUGCAAACUUCACUAGUCUAUGGGUAUAAAGACAAAUGUUCAAAAGGCAAUUUUAGUCUUGCCCAGAUGGCUCAGUCAGUAAAGGUACCUGUUGCUGCUGCACCUGAAGACCUGGCCUGGAUCUCCCAUGACAGGGGAGAGAAUCCACUCCUUCAAGCUGUCCUCUGGCCUUUACAACGAGUGCAGUGGGCGUCCUCACACACAAAAUAAGUAAAUAAAUAUAAUUAAAAAUAAAAA